CUGGGGAUAUAGCUUAAUUGGUAGAGUGCUUGCCUUGCAUGCACAAGGCCCUGGGUUCAUUCCUCAGCACCAGG
rnacentral:tRNA from 1 species